rnacentral:rRNA from 1 species
UACAGAGGGGGCAAGCGUUGUCCGGAAUUACUGGGCGUACAGCGCGCGCAGGCGGUUGCCGACGUGCCGUGUGACAAACGGGGGCUCAACCCCCGAGGGCCACGGUAAACGGGGCGACUGGAGGAAGGGAGAGGGAUGUGGAAUGCCCGGUGGAGCGGUGAAACGCGUAGAGAUGUGGAGGAACACCGAUGGCGAAGGCAGCCCCCUGGGCUAACACUGACGCUCAUGCACGAAAGCGUGGGGAGCAAACAGG